AUGACAUAUUUACCGGUACUUCUCUUCGAAGGUUCAGUGGAAGGGAAGUUGUUGUGUGCUAAAAAGUGUAACGCACAAACAGACGGAUGGACGGACCCAUUUUAAUGGAAUUGAAACUGUGUGAAUCAACCAGAAGUGAAAUCCUACAGAGAAUCAAACUAUGCACUCAGUUGAAGCCAGUCAUAUGUUCGAUUUAACAGUGCUGUUAAGAAGUUAAUAAAUUGAAACCAUUUUUGUGUAGAUCAUUGUAAAACCAAAUUUUUUUUUGACCCAAUGUGCCCCGUGUGUGGGGUACACUGGGUCACACUAUGGGACACAGUUGGCCAUCAUGUAUGUUUCUUUUAAAAAAAAUGUAUA